ACAAAAUACCAAAAAAAAA
rnacentral:sRNA from 1 species